GUGAACUUUGAAUAAAAUAAAAUAAAAAAAGGUUAUGGUUAUAAUAUAAGAGGGCACCAAGAACACAGCCACUGAAUCUGCUACAACAUGUUGUAUUUGCCAUGCAUAGAUAUAUAUAAUCCUUCAUUUUUCAUGAAACUUGGCAACGUGAUUGAGAGAUCAAACACAAAUUAAUCCAAGAUCUAUAGUGGGUUUUAUUUAUUUUUCUAUUAUGAUACUCAUUCAUAGUAAACCACACACAAUUCUUCAAACCCCCAAGAUCUUCAUGGUGAGAAGUUCUUGGAGCAUCUGCUUGAGCAAGAAUCCACACAGCUUGCCAAUUUCUUUUCCCCAGGGUCUUGUUUGCUGCUGAGAUUGGUACACAAAGAGGAAGCACAGCCAAACUUGCAGAAGUAAUGGGUUUGUUCUUUGCCACUUAAAGAUGUGAUGGAAGAUGGAAAGAUGCAAUCUUUCAAGCACUUACUACCACAUGAACAGAGAGAAUUACCAGGAGUAAUUACACAUAGAAGGAAGCAACCCUUGUAGCAGUCACUGAAAGAAGCAGCAGUACACUGCCCUACAGCCAUGCCCAACACCACAAAAACCACCAUAAGAAACCUAGCUCUUCUCUCCUCCAUUGCCUUCAAUUCUCUUUCUAGACCAGUAGGAGAGAGGAUAUUAUGACAAAAGAUGAGUGGUAACUCUCCCUAGCUAGGCCCCCAUUAUAUAUUGCCAAGUUGGUGGAUAAGAUAUACGUGUACUCCUAGCUAAAUUUUUAUCCAAUAAAUAUGAAACUGCUAUCAAGCAGCUCUUACAUAUAGAGAAAUUGGCAAGUCAAAAUUUUUUUUUUUUAACAUAAGUGUUUUGUGAGAGCAUUAUGGCUGAAGACUGGCUUGCAAAUCUAUAUAUUGGUCAUACAGUGGGCUAAAUCUGACGAAUCCAUGCAUAUGCAUAGCAUUUCAU
rnacentral:misc_RNA from 1 species